GGGACCCUAGUAAAAUAGUAUAUUACACUGCCUUGUCAAGACAGAAUUGUAGGUUAGACCCCUGCGGAUCCUG
rnacentral:tRNA from 1 species